CGUCGCUUUCUAGUGUCUGUGGUGUCGGCGCUGCAGGAUGACGCGAGCCUCUCGCGUCCCUGGUUUUCUCGGUCGCAGCGUUGAGUUAUUGGGUGGAAAGAAAGGAAAAAGGAAGAAGCAGAGGGUCAGCAGAUGUUGAAAGAGGUAUAAUCAAGCUCAUACUCCAUUAAACAGAAAGCAAACUAAGAGCUGGAGAGAUGAAGAGACUUGGUCAACAUCAUACAUGAACUAACUCCUGUUGUAUCAAAGGUCUUGAGAACUCUGGCCACCUGCCACUCAUCUGUGCUAUACCCAAUAGCAGCCUUAUUAGGCUUUUGGAUCCUAGAGUUGCUGCUAUCUCUCGUACCACAAAACCACCUGCUUCUGAUUCUCUAGGAAGACUGCUGAGAGUCAACAUCGAGCCACUGGUGAAAAUAAUGUCUUGGGAGCAUCUGAGAGUGCUUAU
rnacentral:lncRNA from 1 species